AGUCGAGGGGCAGCAUGAUUGAAGCUUGCUUCAAUUGAUGGCGACCGGCGCACGGGUGAGUAACGCGUAUCCAACCUUCCGUACACUCAGGGAUAGCCUUUCGAAAGAAAGAUUAAUACCUGAUGGUAUGAUGAGAUUGCAUGAUAUCAUCAUUAAAGAUUCAUCGGUGUACGAUGGGGAUGCGUUCCAUUAGGUAGUAGGCGGGGUAACGGCCCACCUAGCCUACGAUGGAUAGGGGUUCUGAGAGGAAGGUCCCCCACAUUGGAACUGAGACACGGUCCAAACUCCUACGGGAGGCAGCAGUGAGGAAUAUUGGUCAAUGGACGAGAGUCUGAACCAGCCAAGUAGCGUGAAGGAUGAAGGUCCUACGGAUUGUAAACUUCUUUUAUAAGGGAAUAAAACCUCCCACGUGUGGGAGCUUGUAUGUACCUUAUGAAUAA
rnacentral:rRNA from 1 species